rnacentral:lncRNA from 1 species
AUACAUGCAUCACGUAUGCCAUGAGAUAUACUAGGUUGUCUGCAUUAGAAUUCACGAAUAUGUUGCAUUGCAUAAUAUGUUGUUGAUGCGGAUGGAUAUUGGAUGAUCCAUAGCCCUCGAUCUAUGAUGUGAUGAUAUGUUAUGUACGGUACGGAAUGAAAGACCAGUGGGACCCAUUCUACAUUCGCUGGCACCAUGUAAGAGAAAGACCAGGACCC